GCCGAUUCCGCAACCAGGAAGCCUAUUAGAGAAGUGCCAUUUAUGUCUCCCUUUCUUAUUUUUUGUCUGUUUCCUGUAUCCUCCCUACGCUAACAUAACUAAAACUUAUCUUCUCCUCCCCAUCCUCUUCCUCCAUUUUACUCUUUCCUGAUCUAAUUGCUUAAAUUGUCUUCAUUUUCUUAAUCGAUUUGUUCAUCUCAUCUUCGUUUAAUGUUUGUGUUUAUGUCAAUUUCUCGAAUUAUUUGUGUUUAUUGUGUUGAGUUUUUACUAAUUUUGUUCUAGCUGUAUAUUUUCAGGUUCCCGGACGGGGGACGACGCUGGAGGACGACGCUGGAGGACGACGUUGGAGGACCAAGGCCGGCCAACAGAAGAAGAGGAAUUUAUUGUCUAGUUAUGUACAGUGCAUCCUAUUAGUGAAAAGGCGGAAGACAGUUAACGCUGAUCCAGAUGCCUUAGUGAGACAGAGCUUGUCUCCCAUUCAACUGGAGCCCCCUACUGGAAGAUGCGGAUGCAGACCGAUGGGGCCCGUCAGAAGAUGAACGCAAGGAGCCGAUUCCGCAACCAGGAAGCCUAUUAGAGAAGUGCCAUUUAUGUCUCCCUUUCUUAUUUUUUGUCUGUUUCCUGUAUCCUCCCUACGCUAACAUAACUAAAACUUAUCUUCUCCUCCCCAUCCUCUUCCUCCAUUUUACUCUUUCCUGAUCUAAUUGCUUAAAUUGUCUUCAUUUUCUUAAUCGAUUUGUUCAUCUCAUCUUCGUUUAAUGUUUGUGUUUAUGUCAAUUUCUCGAAUUAUUUGUGUUUAUUGUGUUGAGUUUUUACUAAUUUUGUUCUAGCUGUAUAUUUUCAGGUUCCCGGACGGGGGACGACGCUGGAGGACGACGCUGGAGGACGACGUUGGAGGACCAAGGCCGGCCAACAGAAGAAGAGGAAUUUAUUGUCUAGUUAUGUACAGUGCAUCCUAUUAGUGAAAAGGCGGAAGACAGUUAACGCUGAUCCAGAUGCCUUAGUGAGACAGAGCUUGUCUCCCAUUCAACUGGAGCCCCCUACUGGAAGAUGCGGAUGCAGACCGAUGGGGCCCGUCAGAAGAUGAACGCAAGGAGCCGAUUCC